rnacentral:rRNA from 1 species
GUCUCAAAGAUUAAGCCAUGCAUGUCUAAGUAUAAUCGUUAUGCAGGUGAAACUGCGAAUGGCUCAUUAAAUCAGUUAUAAUUUAUUUGAUAGUACAAUUACUACUUGGAUAACCGUGGUAAUUCUAGAGCUAAUACAUGCUAAAAGUCUCGACUUCUGGAAGGGACGUAUUUAUUAGAUAAAAACCAAUAAC